GGUUAAGCGACUAAGCGUACACGGUGGAUGCCCUGGCAGUCAGAGGCGAUGAAGGACGUGCUAAUCUGCGAUAAGCGCCGGUAAGGUGAUAUGAACCGUUAUAACCGGCGAUUUCCGAAUGGGGAAACCCAGUGUGACUCGUCACACUAUCAUUAACUGAAUCCAUAGGUUAAUGAGGCGAACCGGGGGAACUGAAACAUCUAAGUACCCCGAGGAAAAGAAAUCAACCGAGAUUCCCCCAGUAGCGGCGAGCGAACGGGGAGGAGCCCAGAGCCUGAAUCAGCAUGUGUGUUAGUGGAAGCGUCUGGAAAGGCGCGCGAUACAGGGUGACAGCCCCGUACACAAAAAGCGCAUGUGCUGUGAGCUCGAUGAGUAGGGCGGGACACGUGGUAUCCUGUCUGAAUAUGGAAAUUAUCCUCCAAGGCUAAAUACUCCUGACUGACCGAUAGUGAACCAGUACCGUGAGGGAAAGGCGAAAAGAACCCCGGCGAGGGGAGUGAAAAAGAACCUGAAACCGUGUACGUACAAGCAGUGGGAGCACAGGUUUACCUGUGUGACUGCGUACCUUUUGUAUAAUGGGUCAGCGACUUAUAUUCUGUAGCAAGGUUAACCGAAUAGGGGAGCCGGAGGGAAACCGAGUCUUAACCGGGCGUUAAGUUGCAGGGUAUAGACCCGAAACCCGGUGAUCUAGCCAUGGGCAGGUUGAAGGUUGGGUAACACUAACUGGAGGAAUGCGAACCGACUAAUGUUGAAAAAUUAGCGGAUGACCUGUGGCUGGGGGUGAAAGGCCAAUCAAACCGGGAGAUAGCUGGUUCUCCCCGAAAGCUAUUUAGGUAGCGCCUCGUGAAUUCAUCUCCGGGGGUAGAGCACUGUUUCGGCUAGGGGGCCAUCCCGGCUUACCAACCCGAUGCAAACUGCGAAUACCGGAGAAUGUUAUCACGGGAGACACACGGCGGGUGCUAACGUCCGUCGUGAAGAGGGAAACAACCCAGACCGCCAGCUAAGGUCCCAAAGUCAUGGUUAAGUGGGAAACGAUGUGGGAAGGCCCAGACAGCCAGGAUGUUGGCUUAGAAGCAGCCAUCAUUUAAAGAAAGCGUAAUAGCUCACUGGUCGAGUCGGCCUGCGCGGAAGAUGUAACGGGGCUAAACCAUGCACCGAAGCUGCGGCAGCGAACGUAUCACUUAAAGCGAUUCAGCGGGUUACGAUUGACGGAGCGAAGCGACGUCAAAGCGUAUACAAAGUCGAGUCGGUUUAAGGAUACGUUCGUUGGGUAGGGGAGCGUUCUGUAAGCCUGUGAAGGUGUGUCGUGAGGCAUGCUGGAGGUAUCAGAAGUGCGAAUGCUGACAUAAGUAACGAUAAAGCGGGUGAAAAGCCCGCUCGCCGGAAGACCAAGGGUUCCUGUCCAACGUUAAUCGGGGCAGGGUGAGUCGACCCCUAAGGCGAGGCCGAAAGGCGUAGUCGAUGGGAAACGGGUUAAUAUUCCCGUACUUGGUGUUACUGCGAAGGGGGGACGGAGAAGGCUAUGUUGGCCGGGCGACGGUUGUCCCGGUUUAAGCGUGUAGGUGUGUGUUCCAGGUAAAUCCGGUUCACUUUAACACUGAGGCGUGAUGACGAGGCACUACGGUGCUGAAGCAACAAAUGCCCUGCUUCCAGGAAAAGCCUCUAAGCAUCAGGUAACAUCAAAUCGUACCCCAAACCGACACAGGUGGUCAGGUAGAGAAUACCAAGGCGCUUGAGAGAACUCGGGUGAAGGAACUAGGCAAAAUGGUGCCGUAACUUCGGGAGAAGGCACGCUGACAUGUAGGUGAAGUGAUUUACUCAUGGAGCUGAAGUCAGUCGAAGAUACCAGCUGGCUGCAACUGUUUAUUAAAAACACAGCACUGUGCAAACACGAAAGUGGACGUAUACGGUGUGACGCCUGCCCGGUGCCGGAAGGUUAAUUGAUGGGGUCAGCGCAAGCGAAGCUCCUGAUCGAAGCCCCGGUAAACGGCGGCCGUAACUAUAACGGUCCUAAGGUAGCGAAAUUCCUUGUCGGGUAAGUUCCGACCUGCACGAAUGGCGUAAUGAUGGCCAGGCUGUCUCCACCCGAGACUCAGUGAAAUUGAACUCGCUGUGAAGAUGCAGUGUACCCGCGGCAAGACGGAAAGACCCCGUGAACCUUUACUAUAGCUUGACACUGAACAUUGAGCCUUGAUGUGUAGGAUAGGUGGGAGGCUUUGAAGCGUGGACGCCAGUCUGCGUGGAGCCGACCUUGAAAUACCACCCUUUAAUGUUUGAUGUUCUAACGUGGACCCGUAAUCCGGGUUGCGGACAGUGUCUGGUGGGUAGUUUGACUGGGGCGGUCUCCUCCUAAAGAGUAACGGAGGAGCACGAAGGUUGGCUAAUCCUGGUCGGACAUCAGGAGGUUAGUGCAAUGGCAUAAGCCAGCUUGACUGCGAGCGUGACGGCGCGAGCAGGUGCGAAAAGCAGGUCAUAGUGAUCCGGUGGUUCUGAAUGGAAGGGCCAUCGCUCAACGGAUAAAAGGUACUCCGGGGAUAACAGGCUGAUACCGCCCAAGAGUUCAUAUCGACGGCGGUGUUUGGCACCUCGAUGUCGGCUCAUCACAUCCUGGGGCUGAAGUAGGUCCCAAGGGUAUGGCUGUUCGCCAUUUAAAGUGGUACGCGAGCUGGGUUUAGAACGUCGUGAGACAGUUCGGUCCCUAUCUGCCGUGGGCGCUGGAGAACUGAGGGGGGCUGCUCCUAGUACGAGAGGACCGGAGUGGACGCAUCACUGGUGUUCGGGUUGUCAUGCCAAUGGCACUGCCCGGUAGCUAAAUGCGGAAGAGAUAAGUGCUGAAAGCAUCUAAGCACGAAACUUGCCCCGAGAUGAGUUCUCCCUGAGACUUAGAGUCUCCUGAAGGAACGUUGAAGACGACGACGUUGAUAGGCCGGGUGUGUAAGCGCAGCGAUGCGUUGAGCUAACCGGUACUAAUGAACCGUGAGGCUUAACCUU
rnacentral:rRNA from 1 species